CUAAAUAGAGUCUAAGCCAGGUCAGCUCGCCGGCCAACGUGUCACUUUGGUCAGGCCAAAACCGUGGGGCGACUGUAUAGCAAGUGGUUUAUAAAAAUUUAGAUCGGAGGGGUUAUUAUUAAAAUUUAGUUUUAAAGGGUUAAAAUUUAAAAAAUCCUUGCUUGGUUACUCUUCCUGCUCUCAUGGUCGUCUCCCCCUCUCGUAACACGACAGCGACGAGGGAAGCUUCUUCCUUAGCGACUAACCAAUAGCCAAAUCCUCCUUUAAAAUCUGAUGCUCGGCCGGGUCCAUUUCGCUGGCUAGCUUUCCUUCAGCUCCCGUCCCGACCCCCCUGGCUACAGCCCGUCCCGUCGAGCCACAGCGACGAACAAAUGGCCCGCGCCGGCGCAGCCGUCGUCCUCGCCCUCGCCGUCUGCUGCCUCCUGGUGGCCCCCGCCCCGGCGCGCCGCCCCGCCGACCGCGAGGCGGCCGCCGAGCCGCUGCGGCCCAAGCCGGCGGUGGCCGCGGACUGCGCCGAUGCGGCCGAAGCUGAACAGGGGUCCGCGCUCGCCGUGCCCGAGCAGGAGGACCCCGCCCGCGACGAGGAGCCCCGGCGGCGGUCCUCCUCCCUGCUCUGCCUCGUCUUUCGGUGCGGCGGCGAGCCGGCGGGCCUGAACGGCGCGUUGGUGGCCCGGGGCAGCUCCGAGGAGCCGCAGGUGCUGGACGAUGGGACCUGGCGGGCGGUGGAGGGGAAGGCGGAGGCGGAGGACGAGGACGAGCGGCCGUACGAGACGGACUGGGACUCUGACUGCGACUCCGACGACGAGGGCGAAGAAGACGGCGUCUUGGGGUGGCUCUGGAGGCUGGCUGAUCGCUUCUGGUUUCUCAUCGAUCCCAGCCAGCCAUGAGCCAUGGCCGCCGAUAGACGUGCUCCGGCAGCUUGAUCCUUGUCUGGCGCGUGUACUGUAUAACCUAUUACGAGCAGAUCAUAGCAGCAAACACCACUCUUUGUACAAAAGGUUAUAUUGAUGGAAUAAAUACUACACCUGUGUUUUUGUAAUUGUAUGGAUGGAUCAAACAAAGUUUCAAACCGUUGCUGUCACAUGAUUAAAUUCAACAGAAAGAGGUUUAACCGUGUAAGAACGAACCUGGUAGAAAUUGUUAGCACGAAAAGAUUUGUAGCUUAUUCAAGCCUACUAACGUACAGGGUCAUACAACAUGCUUCCCAGCACAAACACGCCUGAAACAUCAAAUUACAGGCAUAAUCCGGAAUGCGAAGAAAAAAAAUGUGUGACAAUCAAGUUCAUAGAUUCUGCUGCUCAUCCUACAAUAGCCAGUGAUAUUAGGAAGACAACAUAUAUGGUUUGUAAGAAAAGAUAUCUGCCAAUACAGACUGAAACCGCAGAAAUCUGGACAGGCAAUUCUACUUCUCCUCCUCGAAGUCAUACUUGUAGCCAUCGGAAUCAUCAUCGGAGGAGGUGAGGAACUCAGAUUCAGAUUCAUCAGAGCCGAUUUCGAUAUCGUAGUCGUCUUUUGUAUGAGCAAGGCUGAAACCACUCAUCUCGUUCCUCCCGUCAUCCUCGUUGAUGAACUCCAGACCGUAUACUGCAUCUCUAUGCUUCACAACCAGCCAGCGAAGCAGCCUGUCCUCCUUGUUCAGAUAGUGGAGUUCUUGCGUGAAGGUAGGUGGAACCAUCAUGGUCAUUUGCAUAAGCUGGCCCUG
rnacentral:lncRNA from 1 species